CAGGGAGACAACAAAAUGUUAAAUAUUAAUUUUGUCACCUUAGGUCGAUCGGUAUCUCACAUUCUUGAUUUAUUUGAGAAUUUUAUUUCCUAAGUUUUUUCUAGGUCACACCCAUUAUUUUUCCUGGGCCAUUAGCUCAGGUGGUUAGUGCGCACCCCUGAUAAGGGUGAGGUCCCUGGUUCAAGUCCAGGAUGGCCCAUAUCUCUAUGUUGGGGGUAUAGCUCAGUUGGUAGAGCGCCUGCUUUGCAAGCAGGAUGUCAGCGGUUCGAGUCCGCUUACCUCCACUGAUCACCACCUCUUCCAUAAUUUAUAGAAGGGAAAUGUUUUGAGUUGUGAUCAAAUUCUGAACGAAUCUAGCUUCCUAAUAUUUUUAUUAAGAUGCUGGACUCAUUGAAUUAAUUUCAUUGUUUUCAGAGAACCUUGACAACUGCAUAGAUUUUUUUAAAGACAAUAAGCAUCUUAAUGAUGCAGAUUUAUUAUUUGUGCGAAUGCAUUAAUAACAAUUCUAUUAAGCUGAUGCUUCAAAUUUUGAAGUUAUU
rnacentral:tRNA from 1 species